GCUGGUCUGAGAGGAUGGUCAGCCACACUGGGACUGAGACACUGCCCAGACUCCUACGGGAGGCUGCAGUCGAGAAUAUUUAGCAAUGGGCGAAAGCCUGACUAUGCGACGCCGCGUGCGGGAUGAAGGUCUUCGGAUUGUAAACCGCUUUUGUCGGGGGAGAAACCUGUAGCGUUAACACCGCUACAGCUGACGGUACCUGACGAAUAAGCCACGGCCAACUCUGUGCCAGCAGCCGCGGUAAUACAGAGGUGGCAAGCGUUACUCGGAAUUAUUGGGUGUAAAGGGCAGGUAGGUGGCUUGGUAAGUGAGAGGUGAAAUCCUGCGGUUCAAUCGCAGAACUGCCUUUCAAACUGCCUGGCUUGAGAGCGACAGAGGAAGAUGGAAUUCCCGGUGUAAGGGUGAAAUCUGUAGAUAUCGGGAAGAACACCAACGGCGAAGGCAAUCUUCUGGGUCGCUUCUGACACUGAGCUGCGAAAGCUAGGGGAGCAAACAGAAUUAGAUACUCUGGUAGUCCUAGCCGUAAACGAUGAGUACUAGGUGUUGGCACCUUCGGGUGUCGGCGCCGAAGCUAACGCAUUAAGUACUCCACCUGGGGACUACGAUCGCAUGUUAAAACUCAAAGGAAUUGACGGGGGCCCGCACAAGCGGUGGAACAUGUGGUUUAAUUCGAUGCUACGCGAAAAACCUCACCUGGGCUUGACAUGUAAGCAGUAGAGAAAUGAAAGUGGAUCGAACCGUCAAGUCGGUAACUUACACAGGUGCUGCAUGGCUGUCGUCAGCUCGUGUCGUGAGAUGUUGGGUUAAGUCCCGCAACGAGCGCAACCAUUGCCCUAUGUUGCCACUUCAGUGGCCAGUUUACUGGUCGCUGAAAGCACUCUUAGGGGACUGCCUGGGACAACCGGGAGGAAGGUGGAGAUGACGUCAAGUCAGUACGGCCUUUAUGCCCAGGGCAACACACGUGUUACAAUGGUCACUACAAAGGGUUGCCAACCCGCGAGGGGGAGCUAAUCUCAAAAAAGUGGCCUCAGUUCGGAUAGGAGUCUGCAAUUCGACUCCUUGAAGCCGGAAUCGCUAGUAAUGGUGGAUCAGCACGCCACCGUGAAUACGUUCCCGGGCCUUGUACACACCGCCCGUCAAGCGAUGGGAGCCGGAAGUACCCGAAGUCCUACGUAGGUAGGCCCAAGGUAAAGCCGGUGACUGGCGCUAAGUCGGAACAAGGUA
rnacentral:rRNA from 1 species